GCUGAAUUCGUCUAGGGGUCUAGGACAACAGAUUCUCAGUCUGUGGAUCGCGGGUUCGAAUCCCGCAUUCAGUA
rnacentral:tRNA from 1 species